UAACACGUGAGUAACCUGCCCCCGAGAGCGGGAUAGCCCUGGGAAACUGGGAUUAAUACCGCAUAGUAUCGAAAGAUUAAAGCAGCAAUGCGCUUGGGGAUGGGCUCGCGGCCUAUUAGUUAGUUGGUGAGGUAACGGCUCACCAAGGCGAUGACGGGUAGCCGGUCUGAGAGGAUGUCCGGCCGCACUGGAACUGAGACACGGUCCAGACACCUACGGGUGGCAGCAGUCGAGAAUCAUUCACAAUGGGGGAAACCCUGAUGGUGCGACGCCGCGUGGGGGAAUGAAGGUCUUCGGAUUGUAAACCCCUGUCAUGUGGGAGCAAAUUAAAAAGAUAGUACCACAAGAGGAAGAGACGGCUAACUCUGUGCCAGCAGCCGCGGUAAUACAGAGGUCUCAAGCGUUGUUCGGAAUCACUGGGCGUAAAGCGUGCGUAGGCUGUUUCGUAAGUCGUGUGUGAAAGGCGCGGGCUCAACCCGCGGACGGCACAUGAUACUGCGAGACUAGAGUAAUGGAGGGGGAACCGGAAUUCUCGGUGUAGCAGUGAAAUGCGUAGAUAUCGAGAGGAACACUCGUGGCGAAGGCGGGUUCCUGGACAUUAACUGACGCUGAGGCACGAAGGCCAGGGGAGCGAAAGGGAUUAGAUACCCCUGUAGUCCUGGCAGUAAACGGUGCACGCUUGGUGUGCGGGGAAUCGACCCCCUGCGUGCCGGAGCUAACGCGU
rnacentral:rRNA from 1 species